rnacentral:lncRNA from 1 species
AGAAGAUUCUUAGGUGAAGGCUCAAACACUAUUAAGAUCGAACCAUUAGAAAAUGAUGAAUAUGGGUUUGGAAUAACAGAGCUAGAAGCACUUGCUUUGGAGAUGCAAGGGCUUGGCAAAACAAGAUAUGAAGAUGGGGAGGAAGAAGAAGAAGAAGAUGAAGAAGAUAACGACAAUCUACUUCCAUCAGAAGAUGAAGAUAAAGUACUUGAUGAAGGGUUUUGGGAAGAAUUGUUCAGUGAAAGGUUGGAAGAAGCUAGAAAUGAAGAUGAACAUGUGAAUGUUUUGGCUGAUAGGUUGGGCUAUUUGGGCUCAAGCCCACCAUAGAAACUCACAAUGAGCUUCAUGGUUUGAGUCAAAAUGAGUCCCUUUAAUGAGUCCCUUUUUGAACACGAAGUUCAAAAAACCAGCU